CAUACGAAUAAUAGCCUACCCUCCCUAACGGGUACCCGUAGAUUGUGCCGACACCAUUACAAAAUAGGGAUGUUCUUGCCUUAAAAUCUUGUUUUUUUUGUAGGGUAAUGGAGAGCUGUAGCUAAGCGAAAGCGAUCAAGCCUGUGACAGUGAAGAAACUUGACUUUUAUUAACACAUAUAUUAGUUAGAGGUAUGUAUAUAUUGGAAAUCUUCACGUAACCUUGUUGACAUGCUUCUGUAAACCAUGAUACUGUGAUGUAGCGUGUUGUCAGUGCAAAUGUAUUGAAGUCACAGCUAGCUAGCUAACGUUAGGAAGCUUCCCCAAAUCGGUCGCUAGUUAGAAGUGCCGAGCUUUAACUGGAUCUCUAAGCUAGCAGCUAGCAGCUAUACCUAGCUAGAUAUUUUGGUACUUCUUCCUAGCUACAUGGUUGGUUAGUAAAUUUAAGGCAUUGUUCGAGAAAAAAUAUGACUGUUUGUGACUUCAAUGAGUAGCUAACUAAGUGAAAUA
rnacentral:lncRNA from 13 species